rnacentral:rRNA from 1 species
UACGUAGGCAGCAAGCGUUGUUCGGAAUUACUGGGCGUAAAGAGUGUGUAGGCGGUGCUCUAAGUUCGGUGUGAAAUCUCCCGCUUAACUGGGAGGGUGCGCCGGAAACUGGAGUGCUUGAGCGCGGGAGAGGAAAGCGGAAUUCCUGGUGUAGCGGUGAAAUGCGUAGAUAUCAGGGGGAACACCUGUGGUGUAGACGGCUUUCUGGACCGUAGCUGACGCUGAGACACGAAAGCGUGGGUAGCAAACAGG